rnacentral:ncRNA from 1 species
GAUUGCAUUUUUAACAACCUCUCUGCAAUCGCGGCUG